AGGAGCAAACAGGAAAUGAGGCAAUACCAAGCCACAUGACAAACUUCUACUGAACUGUGUCCUGGAGGGGUGAUGCAGCCACAAUAACAAGAUUCCUCCUGCUCCAGUCAUUAAGAACAUUGCAUUUCUCAUGUCACAGAGCUGGGGGAGGGGACCGAGAGCAGCCGAGGAAGCAAAUCCCGCUGAGGAUACUGUUUCAAUAUGAAAGAGACCAUUAACCCAGUGUAUUUACCUACAGAACUCAUCCAGGGUCCUAACCAAAAGACAUACUUUUAAUCUUAUCAUAAUAUCGCUCAUCUUUCUCAACAUUUGCCUUCCAAAAAAGCUGUUACUGAUAAGCAAACUUAAUCUUGCUCCCUUCUUUAAACCUCUUCAAAACUUUGCAGUGCUAAAGGCACAAUGCUGAUCUUGUGUAGUGUCUGGAACGUCUUCUUCUCAAAUGAUCUUGCCUGUAUAGAGCAGCUAAUUGAACACAUCUGUUGAAUGUAAUUUGAAUGCUGCAUGUUUGUUCUAUAUGUAUUAUCUUCUAUAUUACUUGGACAUAAUGGGUCUAAUUUUUUUUUAAUGAUGAUAUUAUUUGUGAAGGUGAUUUUCUACUGUCAGCCAAGUUCAGUGAGUGGUCAAACACUGUUUGCAUUUUUUUUAGUAAAAUUUUGUUAUUGAUUGUGUAUGUA